UACGUAGGGUGCAAGCGUUGUCCGGAAUUAUUGGGCGUAAAGAGCGCGUAGGCGGUCCGGUAAGUCCGCUCUGAAAGUCCGGGGCUCAACCCCGGGAGGCGGGCGGAUACUGUCGGGCUAGAGUCCGGAAGAGGCGAGUGGAAUUCCUGGUGUAGCGGUGAAAUGCGCAGAUAUCAGGAGGAACACCAAUGGCGAAGGCAGCUCGCUGGGACGGUACUGACGCUGAGGCGCGAAAGCGUGGGGAGCGAACAGG
rnacentral:rRNA from 1 species